rnacentral:rRNA from 1 species
UACAGAGGUCUCAAGCGUUGUUCGGAUUCAUUGGGCGUAAAGGGUGCGUAGGCGGCGCGGUAAGUCGGGUGUGAAAUCUCGGAGCUUAACUCCGAAACUGCAUUCGAUACUGCCGUGCUUGAGGACUGGAGAGGAGACUGGAAUUUACGGUGUAGCGGUGAAAUGCGUAGAUAUCGGGAAGAACACCCGUGGCGAAGGCGGCUCUCUGGGACGGUACUGACGCUGAGACGCGAAAGCGUGGGGAGCGAACAGG